UACGGAGGGAGCUAGCGUUGUUCGGAAUUAUUGGGCGUAAAGAGCUCGUAGGCGGUCUGUCGCGUCGGCUGUGAAAACUCGGGGCUCAACUCCGAGCUUGCAGUCGAUACGGGCAGGCUAGAGUUCGGCAGGGGAGACUGGAAUUCCUGGUGUAGCGGUGAAAUGCGCAGAUAUCAGGAGGAACACCGGUGGCGAAGGCGGUCUCUGGGCCUGACCUGACGCUGAGGAGCGAAAGCGUGGGGAGCGAACAGG
rnacentral:rRNA from 1 species